rnacentral:rRNA from 1 species
AUUGAACGCUGGCGGCAUGCCUAACACAUGCAAGUCGAACGGAAACGAUGGGAGCUUGCUCCCAGGCGUCGAGUGGCGGACGGGUGAGUAAUACUUAGGAAUCUGCCCAUUAGUGGGGGACAACUCGGGGAAACUCGAGCUAAUACCGCAUACGCCCUACGGGGGAAAGCGGAGGACCUUUCGGGGCUUCGCGCUAAUGGGUGAGCCUAAGUCGGAUUAGCUAGUUGGUGGGGUAAAGGCCUACCAAGGCGACGAUCCGUAGCUGGUCUGAGAGGACGAUCAGCCACACUGGGACUGAGACACGGCCCAG